GAUGAACGCUGGCGACGUGCCUAAUACAUGCAAGUCGAGCGAACGGACGAGAAGCUUGCUUCUCUGAUGUUAGCGGCGGACGGGUGAGUAACACGUGGAUAACCUACCUAUAAGACUGGGAUAACUUCGGGAAACCGGAGCUAAUACCGGAUGAUAUUUUGAACCGCAUGGUUCAAAAGUGAAAGACGGUCUUGCUGUCACUUAUAGAUGGAUCCGCGCUGCAUUAGCUAGUUGGUAAGGUAACGGCUUACCAAGGCAACGAUGCAUAGCCGACCUGAGAGGGUGAUCGGCCACACUGGAACUGAGACACGGUCCAGACUCCUACGGGAGGCAGCAGUAGGGAAUCUUCCGCAAUGGGCGAAAGCCUGACGGAGCAACGCCGCGUGAGUGAUGAAGGUCUUCGGAUCGUAAAACUCUGUUAUUAGGGAAGAACAUAUGUGUAAGCAACUGUGCACAUCUUGACGGUACCUAAUCAGAAAGCCACGGCUAACUACGUG
rnacentral:rRNA from 1 species